rnacentral:rRNA from 1 species
UACGUAGGUGGCAAGCGUUGUCCGGAUUUACUGGGCGUAAAGAGCGCGCAGGCGGUUGAUUAAGUCGAAUGUGAAAGCCCCCGGCUCAACUGGGGAGGGUCAUUCGAUACUGAUUGACUUGAAGGCAGGAGAGGGUAGUGGAAUUCCCGGUGUAGCGGUGAAAUGCGCAGAUAUCGGGAGGAACACCAAUGGCGAAGGCAGCUCGCUGGGACGGUACUGACGCUGAGACGCGAAAGCGUGGGGAGCAAACAGG